rnacentral:rRNA from 1 species
GAUGAACGCUAGCGGCAGGCCUAACACAUGCAAGUCGAGGGGCAGCACAGAAACAGCAAUGUUUUGGUGGCGACCGGCGGACGGGUGCGUAACGCGUAUGCAACCUACCUUUAACAGGGGGAUAACGGAGAGAAAUUUCCACUAAUACCCCAUAACAUCGAUCAAGGCAUCUUGAUUGGUUGAAAACUCCGGUGGUUAAAGAUGGGCAUGCGUUGGAUUAGGUAGUUGGUGAGGUAAUGGCUCACCAAGCCUACGAUACAUAGGGGGACUGAGAGGUUAGCCCCCCACACUGGUACUGAGACACGGACCAGACUCCUACGGGAGGCAGCAGUGAGGAAUAUCGGUCAAUGGGGGCAACCCUGAACCAGCCAUGCCGCGUGCAGGAAGACGGCUCUAUGAGUUGUAAACUGCUUUUAAACAGGGAUAAAGCACAGUAUGUAUACUGUGUUGAAGGUACUGUAAGAAUAAGGAUCGGCUAACUCCGUGCCAGCAGCCGCAGUAA